rnacentral:rRNA from 1 species
GACGAACGCUGGCGGCGUGCUUAACACAUGCAAGUCGAACGGAAAGGCCCUGCGGUUGACUCGUGCUCGAAAGGGGAAAGUAUGAGUAACACGAGAGUAACCUCCCCUUGACAUAAGGAUAACAUCAUGGAACUAGGGCUAAAAACGGCUAGGAGCUCCUGCUGCAUGGGGGGGAAUGGAUAGUGUCGGCGGUUGGGGAUGGACUCGAGGCUUAUCAGCUUGUUGGUGUGGUAGUUGAUUACCAAGGCAUUGACGGGUAGGCGGCCUGAGAGGGUGAACAGCCACAAUGGGACUGAGAUACGGCCCAGACUCCUACGGGAGGCAGCAGUGGGGAAUAUUGCACAAUGGGCGGAAGCCUGAUGCAGCGACGCCGCGUGCGGGAUGACGGCCUUCGGGUUGUAAACCGCUUUCGCCGGUGACGAAGCGUGAGUGACGGUACCUGGUAAAGAAGCACCGGCUAACUACGUG